rnacentral:rRNA from 1 species
UACGAAGGGGGCUAGCGUUGUUCGGAAUCACUGGGCGUAAAGCGCACGUAGGCGGAUUGCUAAGUCAGGGGUGAAAUCCUGGAGCUCAACUCCAGAACUGCCUUUGAUACUGGCGAUCUUGAGUCCGGGAGAGGUGAGUGGAACUGCGAGUGUAGAGGUGAAAUUCGUAGAUAUUCGCAAGAACACCAGUGGCGAAGGCGGCUCACUGGCCCGAUACUGACGCUGAGGUGCGAAAGCGUGGGGAGCAAACAGG